UACAUUUUUUUACACAUAAACGCCGACAAUUUAAGCAUGAUCAAAUUGUGAGUUGAUAGAAAUACAAAGACAAAACCAUCCUUUUGUUAUCUUGAUAAAUGUUGUAGAAAAAAAAAAUGAAAGAAAGGAAUAACGAGAAGCUAAUAAUUCAUCAACUUGCAAGACUAAUCUAAUUGGUCAUCUAUCUAUCUAUGAUGUCGACAUACACACACAAAAGAAAGCAAAAUGCAAAUUUUCAAUCUGCAUUCUAAGAAGCAGCUUAUUAGAUCACCUCCAUCUUCGAAGGACAUCUUGGAGCUUGACACGUACCUCUCUUUUCUCUUCCUUGCUAGUCACGGUUUUGGAACAACACGUACCUUUCUUCUUUGUGCUGUAAAUAGGAGCUUAUAAUCUUGUUUCAAGAUGCACCCAACAAUAUUUCUAUCUCCCUCUUAUGGAAUAAACACUCUAGAAAAGUUUCAAGUAAAAAUAAGUGCAUCAAAGUCUUGAAAGAAUAUGAUCUUCAAGCAACCUUCAAGUUCAUUAUGAUCAACAAAACACUUUCAUUCGAUCUCUCCAUUUUUCUUGCUGGUGGCUGGAAAAUGAUGAACAACAACAUAUAUAGAGGCACGUGAUCAUAAUGGGUGUGAGAGGAGUAAUAGAUUCAUAAGCUCACUUCAAGUUGGUACGUAUGAUCAUGAACAUCACUAACAGUAAGGAUGUUUCGAGUACAUUUCGAGUCGUUCAAGAAAUCCGUGUUCAUCUGCAAAGGUUUGGAUGUUCGUAGACGUUGAGUUAUUCUAUCACAUAUAUCGUGUACUUGUUGAACUUCUCUAUCUUACGUGCCUUAGUUAAACUGAAGGGAAACUAAGGUAGAUCAAUGGAGAUACUCUAAGAUUGACAUAUGCAUUCACUAAAGAACGAAGAUUUUGAAGCGCAUUUUCAUUAAACUAAUCAUGUUGUAAAAUCUCUAGAAUAAAUUCUGUACACUUCAUGUAAGAUCCUGGUUUUUAUAUCAAUAAUAUUUCAAAACGUCUCAUUUAGAGGUCGUUUGUUAUAA